GAAAACAAAACAAAACAAAACAAAU
rnacentral:sRNA from 1 species